GUUCGCCUACGGGACGCAGCAGUGAGGAAUAUUGGUCAAUGGGCGGAAGCCUGAACCAGCCUCGUCGCAUGAGGGAAUAAGGCCCUACGGGUCGUAAACCUCUUUUGCCGGGGAGCAAGGGCGGGGACGUGUCCCGGCCCGGAGAGUACCCGGAGAAAAAGCAUCGGCUAACUCCGUGCCAGCAGCCGCGGUAAUACGGAGGAUGCGAGCGUUAUCCGGAUUUAUUGGGUUUA
rnacentral:rRNA from 1 species